rnacentral:rRNA from 1 species
CAGCAGUAGCCACGGUAAUACGUAGGGUGCGAGCGUUAAUCGGAAUUACUGGGCGUAAAGCGUGCGCAGGCGGUUAUAUAAGACAGAUGUGAAAUCCCCGGGCUCAACCUGGGACCUGCAUUUGUGACUGUAUAGCUAGAGUACGGUAGAGGGGGAUGGAAUUCCGCGUGUAGCAGUGAAAUGCGUAGAUAUGCGGAGGAACACCGAUGGCGAAGGCAAUCCCCUGGACCUGUACUGACGCUCAUGCACGAAAGCGUGGGGAGCAAACAGGAUUAGAUACCCGGGUAGUCCCUGUCUCUUAUAU